rnacentral:rRNA from 1 species
AAAUUGAAGAGUUUGAUCAUGGCUCAGAUUGAACGCUGGCGGCAGGCCUAACACAUGCAAGUCGAACGGUAGCACAGAGAGCUUGCUCUCGGGUGACGAGUGGCGGACGGGUGAGUAAUGUCUGGGAAACUGCCCGAUGGAGGGGGAUAACUACUGGAAACGGUAGCUAAUACCGCAUAACGUCGCAAGACCAAAGUGGGGGACCUUCGGGCCUCACACCAUCGGAUGUGCCCAGAUGGGAUUAGCUAGUAGGUGGGGUAACGGCUCACCUAGGCGACGAUCCCUAGCUGGUCUGAGAGGAUGACCAGCCACACUGGAACUGAGACACGGUCCAGACUCCUACGGGAGGCAGCAGUGGGGAAUAUUGCACAAUGGGCGCAAGCCUGAUGCAGCCAUGCCGCGUGUAUGAAGAAGGCCUUCGGGUUGUAAAGUACUUUCAGCGAGGAGGAAGGCGUUGUGGUUAAUAACCACAGCGAUUGACGUUACUCGCAGAAGAAGCACCGGCUAACUCCGUGCCAGCAGCCGCGGUAAUACGGAGGGUGCAAGCGUUAAUCGGAAUUACUGGGCGUAAAGCGCACGCAGGCGGUUUGUUAAGUCAGAUGUGAAAUCCCCGGGCUCAACCUGGGAACUGCAUUUGAAACUGGCAAGCUUGAGUCUCGUAGAGGGGGGUAGAAUUCCAGGUGUAGCGGUGAAAUGCGUAGAGAUCUGGAGGAAUACCGGUGGCGAAGGCGGCCCCCUGGACAAAGACUGACGCUCAGGUGCGAAAGCGUGGGGAGCAAACAGGAUUAGAUACCCUGGUAGUCCACGCCGUAAACGAUGUCUACUUGGAGGUUGUGCCCUUGAGGCGUGGCUUCCGGAGCUAACGCGUUAAGUAGACCGCCUGGGGAGUACGGCCGCAAGGUUAAAACUCAAAUGAAUUGACGGGGGCCCGCACAAGCGGUGGAGCAUGUGGUUUAAUUCGAUGCAACGCGAAGAACCUUACCUGGUCUUGACAUCCACGGAAGUUUUCAGAGAUGAGAAUGUGCCUUCGGGAACCGUGAGACAGGUGCUGCAUGGCUGUCGUCAGCUCGUGUUGUGAAAUGUUGGGUUAAGUCCCGCAACGAGCGCAACCCUUAUCCUUUGUUGCCAGCGGUUAGGCCGGGAACUCAAAGGAGACUGCCAGUGAUAAACUGGAGGAAGGUGGGGAUGACGUCAAGUCAUUAUGGCCCUUACGACCAGGGCUACACACGUGCUACAAUGGCGCAUACAAAGAGAAGCGACCUCGCGAGAGCAAGCGGACCUCAUAAAGUGCGUCGUAGUCCGGAUUGGAGUCUGCAACUCGACUCCAUGAAGUCGGAAUCGCUAGUAAUCGUGGAUCAGAAUGCCACGGUGAAUACGUUCCCGGGCCUUGUACACACCGCCCGUCACACCAUGGGAGUGGGUUGCAAAAGAAGUAGGUAGCUUAACCUUCGGGAGGGCGCUUACCACUUUGUGAUUCAUGACUGGGGUGAAGUCGUAACAAGGUAACCGUAGGGGAACCUGCGGUUGGAUCACCUCCUUACCUUAAAGAAGC